GCAAGUCGAGCGCACUCUUCGGAGUGAGCGGCGGACGGGUUAGUAACGCGUGGGAACGUGCCCUUCUCUAAGGAAUAGCCUCUGGAAACGGAGAGUAAUACCUUAUACGCCCUUCGGGGGAAAGAUUUAUCGGUGAGGGAUUGGCCCGCGUUGGAUUAGGUAGUUGGUGGGGUAAUGGCCUACCAAGCCGACGAUCCAUAGCUGGUUUGAGAGGAUGAUC
rnacentral:rRNA from 1 species